rnacentral:rRNA from 1 species
GACGAACGCUGGCGGCGUGCCUAAUACAUGCAAGUAGAACGCUGAAGAGAGGAGCUUGCUCUUCUUGGAUGAGUUGCGAACGGGUGAGUAACGCGUAGGUAACCUGCCUUGUAGCGGGGGAUAACUAUUGGAAACGAUAGCUAAUACCGCAUAACAAUGGAUGACACAUGUCAUUUAUUUGAAAGGGGCAAUUGCUCCACUACAAGAUGGACCUGCGUUGUAUUAGCUAGUAGGUGAGGUAACGGCUCACCUAGGCGACGAUACAUAGCCGACCUGAGAGGGUGAUCGGCCACACUGGGACUGAGACACGGCCCAGACUCCUACGGGAGGCAGCAGUAGGGAAUCUUCGGCAAUGGGGGCAACCCUGACCGAGCAACGCCGCGUGAGUGAAGAAGGUUUUCGGAUCGUAAAGCUCUGUUGUAAGUCAAGAACGAGUGUGAGAGUGGAAAGUUCACACUGUGACGGUAGCUUACCAGAAAGGGACGGCUAACUACGUGCCAGCAGCCGCGGUAAUACGUAGGUCCCGAGCGUUGUCCGGAUUUAUUGGGCGUAAAGCGAGCGCAGGCGGUUUGAUAAGUCUGAAGUUAAAGGCUGUGGCUCAACCAUAGUUCGCUUUGGAAACUGUCAAACUUGAGUGCAGAAGGGGAGAGUGGAAUUCCAUAUGUAGCGGUGAAAUGCGUAGAUAUAUGGAGGAACACCGGUGGCGAAAGCGGCUCUCUGGUCUGUAACUGACGCUGAGGCUCGAAAGCGUGGGGAGCGAACAGGAUUAGAUACCCUGGUAGUCCACGCCGUAAACGAUGAGUGCUAGGUGUUGGAUCCUUUCCGGGAUUCAGUGCCGCAGCUAACGCAUUAAGCACUCCGCCUGGGGAGUACGACCGCAAGGUUGAAACUCAAAGGAAUUGACGGGGGCCCGCACAAGCGGUGGAGCAUGUGGUUUAAUUCGAAGCAACGCGAAGAACCUUACCAGGUCUUGACAUCCCGAUGCUAUUUCUAGAGAUAGAAAGUUACUUCGGUACAUCGGUGACAGGUGGUGCAUGGUUGUCGUCAGCUCGUGUCGUGAGAUGUUGGGUUAAGUCCCGCAACGAGCGCAACCCCUAUUGUUAGUUGCCAUCAUUCAGUUGGGCACUCUAGCGAGACUGCCGGUAAUAAACCGGAGGAAGGUGGGGAUGACGUCAAAUCAUCAUGCCCCUUAUGACCUGGGCUACACACGUGCUACAAUGGUUGGUACAACGAGUUGCGAGUCGGUGACGGCAAGCUAAUCUCUUAAAGCCAAUCUCAGUUCGGAUUGUAGGCUGCAACUCGCCUACAUGAAGUCGGAAUCGCUAGUAAUCGCGGAUCAGCACGCCGCGGUGAAUACGUUCCCGGGCCU